rnacentral:rRNA from 1 species
UAGGGAAUCUUCCACAAUGGACGAAAGUCUGAUGGAGCAACGCCGCGUGAGUGAUGAAGGGUUUCGGCUCGUAAAACUCUGUUGUUGGAGAAGAACAGGUGAUAGAGUAACUGUUAUCAUCUUGACGGUAUCCAACCAGAAAGCCACGGCUAACUACGUGCCAGCAGCCGCGGUAAUACGUAGGUGGCAAGCGUUGUCCGGAUUUAUUGGGCGUAAAGCGAGCGCAGGCGGUUUUUUAGGUCUGAUGUGAAAGCCUUCGGCUUAACCGGAGAAGGGCAUCGGAAACCGGGAGACUUGAGUGCAGAAGAGGACAGUGGAACUCCAUGUGUAGCGGUGAAAUGCGUAGAUAUAUGGAAGAACACCAGUGGCGAAGGCGGCUGUCUGGUCUGUAACUGACGCUGAGGCUCGAAAGCAUGGGUAGCGAACAGGAUUAGAUACCCUGGUAGUCCAUGCCGUAAACGAUGAGUGCUAAGUGUUAGAGGGUUUUCCGC